AAAUAAUGACAAGAAUUCAAUGUGCGCAUUAACAAAGGAAACAAACUAAAAUGAAAACUGUAUUGAUAUUUGCAUAAAAAUGUAAAAAACAAAAACAAAACCAAGAGAACACAAAAAAGCUGCAGGGGAGCAUCAGCGUCAGCAUCAGUUCCCGCCACGACAUACAUAUGUCUAGAUCAUUAUAGCGGAAUCAGCCUCCAAUCCAAUUCCAAACCCGAGCCCAACCCCCCAUACAGCAUCAAGCACAUUUAUGGCUAUAUACGUACAUACAUAAUUGCAUUUGCGAGCGGGAUAAAAACGAGCAGAGAAAAAAAUAUGUGAAGUGGAGAAUUAUGAAACGUGUGCAAGCAAAAGCCCAUAAUUAUGUUAAGCGCCUAUCAAAAGCCUAUCCAAUUCAAUCAAAACUGAACAAAGCCCCCGCACACACUCAAAUCCUUACAUGCUCACAGCUAUGAACAAACACCAUCACACCAUCACACACCCACGCACACUCACGAACAGAGAAUGAGCAAACACAUACAUAGAAGCAAACACGUUAAUAUAUGCAUAGAACAAGGCGCUGCAGCUUGAAAGCGAAAUGCAGUCGAGCCAGAGAGAAAUAAUCAAAUAAAAUGGAAAAAUGUUAAUCAAAAAAACGAAAAAU
rnacentral:lncRNA from 1 species